rnacentral:lncRNA from 1 species
GCAUGAAAAAUUUAGCUAUGUAAACUUACCCCUAUUACCUUAGUCCCUUAUGGGGCUUAUGGCUUUUCCUUUGUCUUAGGUGGUUGAGAGACAGAACAGUUUGACUUGAGCACUAACUUUCUCAUUCUUAGCAAGUUUCAUAUCCGAGGUUUUGUGAUAUUUUCAAAAGAAAGCUUAAAUGUUCCUCUUAUGGUUCUCUUAUGUCACUCAAAUGGUGUAUGAUUCCUCACCAAGGCAUAUGGUAAGAGUUGCCUUCUCUAUUUCAUCCUAUUUCUAAAAGGCUUAUGUGGAGUUCAAGGUAGGGAUGAAAGGAGAUAGCAUACUUACUUUGCAUAUAUUGCGAAGUCAAAGCUCGGAUCCUUGAAGAGAAGUGUCAUACUCCCAGAUCAAGAUGUGCAAGUGUGAUAUAUGGUGGACUAGGUUGCUCCUUUAUUUGAUAGACUCUCUAUGUAUUGAGACAUGGCUAGCAUUUUUUCUUUUUUUUUUAUAUAUGAGCUUUCAUGUGCUCAAUUUUCUUUUUCUGUGGACUUGCGUAUGUCCAUCUUUUUAUUUCAUUUUGCCUAGCCUUUUGAUGUCUCAUUUACCAAAUAAUGCUUAGAGAGAUGUUCUAACAUUUAGAGUAUGGAGCAACCUAUUUAGUGGAUGCGAAAUACAUGUGGUUGCGUACUUCCAGUGUAGAAGCAGCAUAUAUAUAUGUGGUGUGUACGUGAUCUUGAUCUUAGGAGCAUGAAAAGUCUCUUAACAAGGGUCAACAAGACUUGACGACACUCAACCGAAAGCAAAUAGCUUAUGUGGAAAGGUUGCAAUUAUGUAAAGUAGAUAUGGCUGUGGUAGGAAUUCAUCACCAUUGAGGAACAAUUAAGGUUUUGAUCAUUUUAAGAAUAAAUCUCUGAUAAUCAUGCAUGCUUAGAAAAAUAUUAUAGUAGCUCUUGUCUUACUAUCUCAUGUCCCACAACAACUUAGACUUAGUUCUAGCACUUGCAACCCACAAAGUUUUUAGGUUCAUGGCAGUUUAAGUGAGCUAAGUGAUCCAUACUUAGAGAAAUACUAAGUUGUAUACUAGGCACUAGAGAAACAUUAACAAGCAACUAGCCAUCAUUUCCAUGAGGGAUAUAAACAUACAUGAAGCAUAUAUGCUAAAGGGAAAUGCUAAUAAAUAUUUUUUUUUAAGUAAGAAUGAUAAAAUGCAUGAAAAUAAAUAGGAUAGAAUACUUACCUUAGUGGGGGAGAGGAUCUCCCCCAAGCUAGAUCUUCGCUCACUGUGGU